UCCCUAACCCACCUAACCCUACUUCAUUUGCAUAGAGACGCCGCCCUUGAAACCCUUCGUCUCUCAAACUCUCUCCAGCCUCUCCGAAACCGUAAUUGAUUUCCACCUUAUCUCACCUCAUUUCCACCAGAAUCCAUGGCAUCUCCAGCCAUGGAUGGCCAGCACUCACCCUUUCUUACUAUCAGACCUAAGCUACUCAAAGUUUGGAGACUGGACCUCGAUGGUUUUUCUUCAGAUCCUUCUUAAAUCUGUAGAUCCAUGGUUUCUCCGGCCACGCUCAGGCAUAUUCAAGCAUUAGAGACCUGAUUUGUGACCUGCUCGACACAGGAUCUGAUGUCUUCCAAGCCUUUCUCGUUUCUAGGGUUUAUCUGAACCAUAAGUUAAUCGAGGUUAUUUCUUUGUUUGUUUGCUUAGAUCUAUGCUGAAUCCAUGCUAUACUUGACAUUUUUAAGUGAUUUCCCUAAGUUUUCUUUUCAAGAUUGUUUGACUUCAAUUUAGGGUUUCUGCAAUGUUUUUAGAAAAAAUAUCUUUUGGUUUUUCUUUUGCUUUCCUUUAUCCAUGUUUGUUCAUAUCAUGUUUGUAUGACUUCUUUACUACGCAUGUACUGUUCUUCUACUUUCCUUUUAUUAGUGUGCUUACAUGUUAAUCUGUGUUAGGUUUUCCUUACUCUUCUACUUUAUGUGUUUACCAUUGAGUUCCUCGAUUUUUUUUUGCUUUCCUGAACUAUGUUUGUGUUCUUGCUAAGCAUAUUUCAUCUAUUCUGUUUAAGGCAGUAUCCUUUCUCUCUCAUGAACUUGCCUAAGUUACGAGUUUUCUAAAAUGUGUCCUUUUGCGCUCUCAAAUCGAUUUUCUUUAUCCUAUCUUUUCAAACCUGCUAUCAUAUUUUGUUCUAUUUCUCAUGAGGCUCUGAAACAGAUCUAUGAGUGUGUUUUCAUUCACUUGCUUUCUCAUCUCUAUAUUUGAUUCGAUUCGAAAACUUAGAAUUUGGGGGUUUGUUCGAAAGUUGAAUUAGGGUUCCACUUUGGGACCCCAGACCUUCAGACUCACUAUGAGUCUGCAAAUUGAACCUGUAUGUCUUUGCUUAUGAUACUGAAAUUCUCUUCGAUUAAACUAUGUUCUAAGUAAUUUGACUUUCUCUUCUUUAUUCACAUGUUUGCGUGUUUUAUAUGUGAGAAAACUCCUCUUUCAAAAAGUUUUAAUAAUUAAUUUAUUCGUUCUGAAUUCCUUUGAUGGGGUUUUGACUGAUUCCCACUGAUUUUCUUUGGUUUAAUCCUCCUCUACCUAUUCCUGACUUGGUUCAUUCGAAUUGAAACUGAUACCUUGACUUUUUUUAGUUGUCUGAUUGAUUCCCUUUCCUUUUUUUACAAAUCAAGUGUCGUUGAAUUCUUUCCUUAAAUAAACCUUAUGUGUUUCCCUUCUUAUGCUACUAUGAAAGAUUUUACUCAAAUUUUAUUUCCCUAUUUACAUUCUCGCGUUUGAAAUCAAAUCCCUUAACUGAAGGGACAAUAUGUGAGACUGAUUUUUAAAGAGUUUUCUUACCUUUCUUACUUUUUUCUACACCAUAAAAGGGGAUGCCUUUCUACACUUCCGACACGAUCAAUUUUGAAUACUUUCACACUACUUCCAAUUGAAUACUUUUAUUUCCUCACACAAACACUCGAGCUCUUACUCUGAACUCACACACACACACAAAAUGUUCUCUCUGAUUGUGACUUGUUUUCAAGAGUCCUGCUUUCUUUGCUUAUCUUUCUGAAACUGGUAUGUUCUUUGUUUAACUUCUACCUCCCCCCUAUGUGUUUAUUAUACAGUUCAAACUUUGUUUUGCUUACUGUCUAUAUGCUGUAACGUUCUGCAAGCUUUCUUCAUUCAUUGUUUCUGUUCUUGUGGGUGGCUGAGUUAUGGUUCAAAAACAUAGCAUUACCUAAAAGUAUAUCCCAUGAAUAUGAACUGCGCUCUCUGAGUCCUAAGCUCUUUCAAUUCCUAUCCCCAUUUCCCUUUCUAUGUAUGUUGAGUUUUAGAAUUUGGUCUGGCAGUGUCAUAAUCACUGUCCAGGGGAUGGUCUGACCUUCAAUAGGUCUUACUCUUAAUUGUUUGGCUGACAAGAUGGUCAGGGGUGUGCCAGACUACCAUAUGGCUGCGCAUGACCACCAGCUUACCUUGGCACUCCCUAACCUCCUCUAUCACACUUGCACUUAUUCAUAAAAUAUAAGUUCUGCCCCCUCUUGUGAGCCUUGCCUUGGGACCCAUGAGCUCCCUCUGAACUUGGGUACUUGACGGCUGGCCCUUCCCCACUACAAUCUAAUUCAGUUGUAAUUAACAUCUGGGGUGUAAGCACUGGUUGGAGUUCCUAAAACUCUUUGGAACUUUGAAACAUCCUUGGAAAUCUUGAUCCCGGAAGUGGUUCAUAUCAUAUUGUUCGACACUAAGUCUGAAUUAGGCUUCUUGGAUAUAGCUGUAACUUCUGAUGUAUUUUUAGUGUGAUUUAUUGGGGUGUAAUAAUUUGUAAUAAACUUAUGGGGAUUUAUUGAAGUACGAGAGGGGUUUACUUUUACGCACAAGAGUAGAUACCAUGCCUAUAUGAGUUAAUAUCUGAUUUUUUACAUGUACACAUAUAUAUCAUGUC
rnacentral:lncRNA from 1 species